AUUAGACGAAUCAUCUGGAAAGAUGAAUCAAAGAAGGUAAUAAUCCUGUAGUCGAAAAUGUUGUCUCUCUUGAGUGGAUCCUGAGUACGACGGAGCACGUGAAAUUCCGUCGGAAUCUGGGAGGACCAUCUCCUAAGGCUAAAUACUCUCUAGUGACCGAUAGUGAACCAGUACCGUGAGGGAAAGGUGAAAAGCACCCCGGAAGGGGAGUGAAAUAGAACCUGAAACCGUGUGCUUACAAGUAGUCAGAGCCCGUUAAUGGGUGAUGGCGUGCCUUUUGUAGAAUGAACCGGCGAGUUACGAUUUGAUGCAAGGUUAAGCAGUAAAUGUGGAGCCGUAGCGAAAGCGAGUCUGAAUAGGGCGUUUAGUAUUUGGUCGUAGACCCGAAACCAGGUGAUCUACCCUUGGUCAGGUUGAAGUUCAGGUAACACUGAAUGGAGGACCGAACCGACUUACGUUGAAAAGUGAGCGGAUGAACUGAGGGUAGCGGAGAAAUUCCAAUCGAACCUGGAGAUAGCUGGUUCUCUCCGAAAUAGCUUUAGGGCUAGCCUCAAGUGAUGAUUAUUGGAGGUAGAGCACUGUUUGGACGAGGGGCCCCUCUCGGGUUACCGAAUUCAGACAAACUCCGAAUGCCAAUUAAUUUAACUUGGGAGUCAGAACAUGGGUGAUAAGGUCCGUGUUCGAAAGGGAAACAGCCCAGACCACCAGCUAAGGUCCCAAAAUAUAUGUUAAGUGGAAAAGGAUGUGGCGUUGCCCAGACAACUAGGAUGUUGGCUUAGAAGCAGCCAUCAUUUAAAGAGUGCGUAAUAGCUCACUAGUCGAGUGACACUGCGCCGAAAAUGUACCGGGGCUAAACAUAUUACCGAAGCUGUGGAUUGUCCUUUGGACAAUGGUAGGAGAGCGUUCUAAGGGCGUUGAAGCAUGAUCGUAAGGACAUGUGGAGCGCUUAGAAGUGAGAAUGCCGGUGUGAGUAGCGAAAGACGGGUGAGAAUCCCGUCCACCGAUUGACUAAGGUUUCCAGAGGAAGGCUCGUCCGCUCUGGGUUAGUCGGGUCCUAAGCUGAGGCCGACAGGCGUAGGCGAUGGAUAA
rnacentral:rRNA from 1 species